rnacentral:rRNA from 1 species
AUUGAACGCUGGCGGCAGGCCUAACACAUGCAAGUCGAACGGUAACAGGAAGAAGCUUGCUUCUUUGCUGACGAGUGGCGGACGGGUGAGUAAUGUCUGGGAAACUGCCUGAUGGAGGGGGAUAACUACUGGAAACGGUAGCUAAUACCGCAUAACGUCGCAAGACCAAGAGGGGGACCUUCGGGCCUCUUGCCAUCGGAUGUGCCCAGAUGGGAUUAGCUAGUAGGUGGGGUAACGGCUCACCUAGGCGACGAUCCCUAGCUGGUCUGAGAGGAUGACCAGCCACACUGGAACUGAGACACGGUCCAGGCUCCUACGGGAGGCAGCAGUGGGGAAUAUUGCACAAUGGGCGCAAGCCUGAUGCAGCCAUGCCGCGUGUAUGAAGAAGGCCUUCGGGUUGUAAAGUACUUUCAGCGGGGAGGAAGGGAGUAAAGUUAAUACCUUUGCUCAUUGACGUUACCCGCAGAAGAAGCACCGGCUAACUCCGUG